CUGGCGCGGGCGCAGGGCUGGCUGGCGGUUGAGACCGCGGCGGUACUGGGAGUGGCUGGUGAGGGUCGCGAGGCUGCCUGAGCUUCUGCGUGAGCAUGGCGCUUUUGGAACGUGGGACUGGCGACCUGCUGCGCCAGGAGCUGGGCCGAGGCGCGGAGGCGCGGCUGCCGGUUGCUCUCUGGAUGGGAAGUUACCACGAAGUCCACCCAGCGUUUCCGAGGCAAUCUGAAGGCAAAUCCUGUUUUGACCCAGGCGAAGGUUCCUGGUGAUCCAGGCUCUCCCCAGCCGAUUGUCCCUUCCUGUCUUCCUGAGGGUGUCUGGAGCUUCAGUGUUGUGUGCUCUUGGCCUCCACGCUGGGGUGCCACCGACUCCCACUGUCCAGGGCUUCCGGUGGACUCUCCGAGUCACUGAUGCAGAAACUUCCCCAUUCGGUGCACCAAGAGCAGCCUCACACGGUGUGGGCCGACAUGAAGAGCUGCCAGAUCCAACAGAAAUGUGAUUGAUAACAGUAAAGCCGCACUCCCCACAUGCCUGAAAUAUCCCUCAUUGUCUUCUUCAGGUGGCAAGGGCUCUGGAACAGCCACAUAAAGGUGAGGACAAUUUUUUUUUCAUUGAUUGAUUGGUUGGUUGAUUUUUUUUCUGUUUGAGGGGUUAGCAUCCAUGUAUCUGAAGUUGAAAUUCAAGAGGAGAGACAGACACCUGUACUAGUUUUCUCUUGCUGCCAAUGAUCACAUUACCAGAAAUCAGUGGUUUGAAACCACAGAAGUCUGGAAUGAAGUGGCCGGG